rnacentral:tmRNA from 1 species
GGGGCUGACUUGGCUUUGACAGCGCGUAGAGGUGGUAAGCAAGCAUGCAGAGCGAUGAUGGCAAUGCUCUCAAAUAUCAGUCAUCACUAAAUUUUAACUGGCGAAAACAACUACGCUCUCGCUGCCUGAUCGAAGUAUAGUAGAUCGGCUUAAUCUCUGCCCAAGGAUGGUAGAGACGAGACAUCACCCGGAAGCCCUUUCUGCGAGGCUCGUCGACAAGGUGGUGCUGGCAAAUCGGAGAUAGAGACCUGUAUGCCUCGUGCUGGUCUUGAAACUUAGAGGAUAAGCCACAGGUUGGUAGUCUUGAUCCUGCCGGUGGUCGAAAACCAAGUCAAGACUAAGCAUGUAGAAAACUUAUGAUUUCCGCGUUUGGACGAGGGUUCAAACCCCUCCAGCUCCACAA